rnacentral:misc_RNA from 1 species
GUAGGUGAACCUGCGGAAGGAUCAUUAUCGUACAACUGAGGCGCGAGGGCUGUCGCUGACUUUUCGUCGUGCACGCCCGAGCGCUCUCAUACAUCCACCUCACCCCUAUGUGCACCACCGCGUGGGUCCCCUUUCGGGGGGGCUCGCGUUUUCACACACAAACUCGAUACAGUGUAGAAUGUCCUUCUUUGCGAUCACACGCAAUUAAUACAACUUUCAACAACGGAUCUCUUGGCUCUC